UACGUAGGGUGCAAGCGUUGUCCGGAAUUAUUGGGCGUAAAGAGCUCGUAGGCGGUUUGUUGCGUCGGCUGUGAAAUCCCGAGGCUCAACCUCGGGUCUGCAGUCGAUACGAGCAAACUAGAGUGUUGCAGGGGAGACUGGAAUUCCUGGUGUAGCGGUGAAAUGCGCAGAUAUCAGGAAGAACACCCGUGGCGAAAGCGGCUCUCUGGAGCGGUACUGACGCUGAGACGCGAAAGCGUGGGGAGCGAACAGG
rnacentral:rRNA from 1 species